GACGAACGCUGGCGGCGUGCUUAACACAUGCAAGUCGAACGGAAAGGCCCUGCUUUUGUGGGGUGCUCGAGUGGCGAACGGGUGAGUAACACGUGAGUAACCUGCCCUUGACUUUGGGAUAACUUCAUGAAACUGGGGCUAAUACCGGAUAGGCGCUCCUGCUGCAUGGUGGGGGUUGGAAAGUUUCGGCGGUUGGGGAUGGACUCGCGGCUUAUCAGCUUGUUGGUGGGGUAGUGGCUUACCAAGGCUUUGACGGGUAGCCGGCCUGAGAGGGUGACGGGCCACAGUGGGACUGAGAUACGGCCCAGACUCCUACGGGAGGCAGCAGUGGGGAAUAUUGCACAAUGGGCGGAAGCCUGAUGCAGCAACGCCGCGUGCGGGAUGACGGCCUUCGGGUUGUAAACCGCUUUCGCCUGUGACGAAGCGUGAGUGACGGUAAUGGGUAAAGAAGCACCGGCUAAGUACGUG
rnacentral:rRNA from 1 species